rnacentral:rRNA from 1 species
AAGGGCACCACAAGAACGCGUGGAGCAUGUGGCUUAAUUUGACUCAGCGCGGGAAAUCUUACCGGGUCCGGACACACUGAGGAUUGACAGGCAAUAUUGAAAUUAUUGCAUUUAUGCAGUAUUUCAUGUUAAAUAUGCUAGUCCUUUCAUGAUUAUGUGAUAGGUGGUGCAUGGCCGUUCUUAGUUCGUGGAGUGAUCUGUCUGCUUAAUUGCGUUUCACUAAGGGCUUAUUAAUUACGUGUGUUGUAGGUACUUUGACCCCUAUGUUGAAAUAUUACAUAGUGCGUGUCUUAGUUUGCUUUUACUCACACAAUUAAGUCCUGAAAGCAACGAACGUGACCGCAACCUCUUGUUGCCUUUAUUUUGUAAUGUAUUUUGUUAAUAUUUAUAUUGCAAGUGCAUGAAAAAAGGCUUUUUAAACUAGAGGGACCGCUGUAACUUUUUUAAACCAGAGGAAGGUUGCGGCAAUAACAGGUCUGUGAUGCCCUUAGAUGUUCCGGGCUGCACACGUGCUACAAUGAUUAUUGCAGUGAGCAUCUCAUUUUAUUACACCGCCUGCGCGUGUCCAAUUAUUUGCAUACUUAUGUGUGUACUUUAAUUGUGUUACAUUGCGCGCGGUAAAGCCUGCUUCGAAAGUAAGUGGGUAAUCAAUUAGAAGUAAUGAUUUCCCUAUUUAUAGCACACAUAUAUGCGGCAUCUUUACCCGGGUUAAGCUUGUCUUAACUUUUGUGUGUAUCGAUGUUUUUUCCGCAUGUGCAAUUGUCAAUUCAUGGUGGGGACAGACCAUUGUUAAUUGUUGGUCUCGGUCUUAACUAGGAAUGCCUUGUACGGGUCUUUGGUUCAACAAACCACCCGGAAUACGUCCCUGCCCUUUGUACACACCGCCCGUCGCUCUUACCGAUGGACUUCUCUGUGAGUUUGAGGGACUGGAUACUGUAAUAAUUUAUUAUUACUAACCAUCUAUGGAAACUUAAACGAACAGUGUGGUCUAAAGGAAAGAGAAGUCAUAACAAGGCAUCGGUAGGUGAACCUGCAGAAGGAUCA